GAUGAAGAACGUAGCGAAAUGAGAUAAGUAAUGUGAAUUGCAGAAUUCAGUGAAUCAUCGAAUCUUUGAACGCACAUUGCGCCCCUUGGUAUUCCGAGGGGCAUGCCUGUUCGAGCGUCAUUAUAACCCCUCAAGCUCAGCUUGGUGUUGGGGCCUGCUGCACUGGCAGCCCUUAAAAUCAGUGGCGGCGCCAUCUGGCUCUAAGCGUAGUAAUUCUUCUCGCUAUGGAGUCCUGGUGGAUGCUUGCCAUCAACCCCCAAUUUUUCUAUGGUUGACCUCGGAUCAGGCAGGGAUACCCGCUGAACUUAAGCAUAUCAAUAAGCGGAGGA
rnacentral:misc_RNA from 1 species